AAAAUACCAUGCUUGGAUCGUGCAACCUCGAUUCCAAGAAAAUACUUCAAUUCACCCAAUUAUUUCAUCUUAAAUUCAGUAGCUAGGUACUUUUGAAGCCAUUGUAUCUCCUUUUGAUCAUCACCGGUCACUAUCAUGUUAUCAACAUAAAUAAUCAAUGCAGUUAGCGUACCAUUUUGUCGCUUUAGAAAUAAAGUAUGAUCUAAAUGACUCUGGAUAUGCCCAAACCUCUUCAUUGAACUUGUAAACCUCCCAAACCAUGCUCUAGAAGAUUGUUUCAAACCAUUCAAAGCCUUUCGUAACUUGCAUACAACACCUUUUACAAGAAAUGUUCCGAUACCAGGUAGGAGAUCCAUAUAAACUUCCUCCUUAAGAUCACCAUGAAGGAAAUCAUUCUUAACAUCAAACUGCAACAGAGGCCAAUCCUGGUUUGCUGCUAAUGACAGAAGAACACGCACAUUAUUAAGUUUGGCAAUAUGAGCAAAAGUCUCCUAAUAGUCCAUCUCAUAGGUUUUAGUAUAACCCUUAGCAACUAAUCUGGCUUUAUACCAGUUAAUAGAACCAUCUGUUUUGUGCUUAAUAAUGAACACUCAUCUACAUCUAACAAUUUUCUUCCCGUUUGGUAAAUGAACCAAAUCCCAAGUAGAAUUCUUUUCCAAAGCUUCCAUCUCAACUUUCAUGGCAUUAACCCAUUUAAGAUCAGACAAAGCAUCUUGCAAUUUUGUUGAAUUGAUACACUAGAUAGCUGACAUAUGUAAGAUACAUAUGGUUUGGACAAACGAUGAGUAGACACAUAAUUGUUGAUAGGAUAUUUAGCUUUAGCAUGCAUAUCAGGCUCAUAUUGUACUUUAGGUUUUCCACGAUUAGCUCGUGGAGGCAACUCAUAAGUAGAAGAAUCGUCAGAAUUUACCUCAUGUAUACCACCAUCUUGUACCAAACUGUUAAAAGAAUCAUCACUGGACGAACCAUCAUCAGGCAACUCGUUAGACAUACCAGCAGCAGGCAACCGAUCAUCAGAAGGUAAUUCGUCAGACAUACUAAGAAGCAACUCGCUGGGCACAUCUGAUCUAUCGUCAGUAGAAAUAAUUCCGGGAAUGACAGGUGACCGAUCACUGUCUGUAGCUGACUGAUUAGUAUCACGCAACAUAAUAGGUUUUGUUCCCAACUCAGCCUAUAACACAUCAUCCAUACCAUCUAUUCGAAUCUGCACUUCACUCCCCAUCCCCCCUGAAGUGAAGAGUCGGAAGAGGGCUUUAUAAAAUAUGAAACUUCCUCGUGGAAGGUGACAUCCAUGGUAAUAUAAGUUUUUUGAGUCGGAGGAUGAUAACAUUUAUAGCCUUUAUGAUUGUUAGCAUACCCAAUAAAGACACAUCGAAAAGCACAUGCAUCAAGUUUACCCCGCUGAUGAGAGUAGACAUGCACAUACGCAAUACACCCAAACACUUUCUGAGGAAGUUUUGAUACAGAAACAAGAUAAACAUGUUUUUGUAACACGUCAAGCAGUGUUUGAAAAUCAAGAACCCUACUUGGAACACGAUUUAUCAAAUACACAGAAGCCAAAACAACAUAACCCCACAAAUGAUUAGGAACACAUUUACCAACAUCAAGGAGCAAGCAACCUCCAUUAUUUGACGAUUCUUCCGUUCGGACACACCAUUUUGUUGGGGUGUAAACAGAGUAGUCGUCUAGUGAAUAAUAUUAUGAUCACGAAAAAAACAUGCCAAAGUGUGAUUCACAUAUUCUCCUCCGUUAUCAAACCUAAAGAUCUUAACUUUGGUCUGAAAUUGAAUAGACACCAUUGUACAAAAUUCUUGAAGAAGUAACGGAACAUCACUCUUAUUAUUCAUCAAGAACACCCAAGUUAAUUGAGUUCAAUCAUCAAUAAAAGUAACAAACCAACAUAAUCCAUUAGAAGUAACUUUGGCCGGACCCUACACAUCAGAAUGUAUCAAAUCAAAUGGCAAAGUAGCUUUAGAAUCACUUACAGGAAAUGAAGCUCGAUGACUCUUAGCCAUGACACAUGUUUCACACUUGACUCUGAAUCACUACAAGUGUGAAACAAAGAAGGAACCAGUAUCAAUUAUCCACUUAUUUGUUCCACCAAGAUGCAUAAAAACACUAUGAUUAUAAUGAGCCACUGAACUAAAUCACGAACAAUAAAGGCACAACAGAUACGCAGCGGAACGAAAACAAUUUAUUAGAACACUGUAGUAAUCAUUGUUCACGACACUGUAAAGGAUCACUGUUCACAAAGCAGAGCACUGUUCAUGCACUGUGGCAAAGAAAACUGCUCUGAUGCCAUAUUAAACUAAAUAUGGUAAAUAUCAAAAAAUAUAUAUGACACAAAAUUAAAGCACACAUGUCACCAAGAGCGAACUGCUCUGAUGCCAUAUUAAACUAAAUAUGGUAAAUAUAAAAAAUAUAUAUGACAAUAUUUGGGAAUUUCUUAUAUAUUUAUUAAUCUCCAAAGUGGAGUAUAUAUAGGAAUUACAAUUGAUAUUACACAUGUACUUCACAAUGUGGGACAAUAAACUACUAUUUGCACUUUAACUAAUAUAUAACUCGCAACAGUAGGCAGUAAUAAAAAGGCUAUAAAAUUGCUGCAAUUUAUGGUGUGCAAUAAGGCCUCGUUUGGCAGCUCGGACUGUACUGACUAUUUCUGUCGGAUAGGAUAAAUAGUCACCGGAUAGUACUGACUAAAUUAGUCGGACGUUUGGUGCAGUAUCGGACUAAUGACCGUAUUAUUUAUACGGUGAUUGGUUUUAUACCGGAUAUGAUAAAAAAAGAAAAAUAAUGAUAGAAUAAUCAACAAAGGGCAGUGCCUUUAAUUUGUCGUUCAUGUUUGGCAUAAAACCCUUUUUGGUUGAUUUUCUGCAGACAACAUGGAUCCGUUAAGGGUGUGUUUUACGACAAAUCGAGGCACUGUGAAGGUGCGGCUUCAAACGGAGACGAAGGUCCAGCCACGUCGGCGAGGAUUGACAGAGCUUUUGGCUCUUGAAGUUUUCCGGGAAUCGAUGAGAUCUUCUCCAGAUUCCGGCGAAUAGGCGGUUGCAGGUCGUUGGGUUUCAAAUCCUGUUAACCAAAUCUAUUAAUUGGAUUUCCAACCCUCAGUAAUUUCAUAGAAUUUUAUAGAAAUUAUGGAGUUCUAAAACUUAAUUUGAAGGGAUAUAUAACUUCCCCCAAUAAUUUAGGGCGGAGCAGAGCAAAGUAGAAGAAGAACGACGGCGGCUGAACGAUGCGAGAGAGAGAGAAAGGAACUGAGCAGAGCAAAGUAGAAGCAGAACGACGGCGGCUGGACGGCGACGGCUGGACGACGGCUGAACGACGAACGACGAACGACGAACGACGGUGGCUGAACGAUGCGAGAGAGAGAGAAAGGAACGCGACGAGUAAGGGACAGAGAGGGAGAGAGGGAGAGAGCGAUCGUUGUUUCCCACCCGACUAAUAAUCCUUACGUUUUAGGGAGGAUAAAUUAACAGGUGUGUACCGUAUAAAUCAUGUGGGGCCGGUAUAAUUAAUCCGGUUGCUAUUUAGUACGGAACAACGCCAAACACUCGGGUCCGUAUUAUUUAUCCUAUCUGAUGCUUUAUACGGGCUGCCAAACAGGGCCUAAGUAUACCUCUCCUAGGAUUUGUGUGCGUUAGUUGAGUCACAAUUGAACACUAACUAGUAUGCUAAUUUGGUAACCAAAUCUUAUUAGGAAGGGGACUAUAGCUGGCUUUCCUAAUUUCCUUUGAGUAAAGGUUGUAAAAUAACUAGGGAACGUUAAGAAUUAUAAUAACAAUUUGAUAAGGAUUCAACUGCCGGUAAGCCAAAAAAAAAAAAAAAGAUUUGUGUAAGUGUGACCGAUUGGUUAACGUAAUGUCCCGGUUCUUCAUACUUGAGUUCGAAUCCUUAUUCCUAUCGAGUAAAGUAGUUUAAUGUAAUAUGCAUUUUAGAAAGCAGUCAUGGACUAGGAUUUAAAUUGUUUUGGUGGAUGAGUGGAAUAACCGAGAACUAAUUCCUAAUUGGAGCGGUUUUAGAGUGAAAAAAGAGUGAGGAGAGACUAACGAUCGAAUGUUAGACCAUACGCGACGUCGUUUGGUUACACAUUAAAACACAAAAACGAACGAGUCUCAAACAUGGACAAGAAACAAGUUUUCUCUUCCAGAAACCUCUAAUUAAGAGGCAAAACAAAAUUGAAAAACUAAAGUCAGACAAUUAUCACGUCAUAAUUUACAUCUAAUGAGAGCUUAGAAAACUUUGCACAAACCUAAACAAACAAACAAAACACACAUUCAUAAGCGUCGUUAACUAUGGUACGCAUCAUACUUUGGUAAGCUUAAUAUCUCUCCAAGUACUCGCUCAAUCAAAACCCUAACUUUCUUGAAGACAAACUUGUCAACGAACUCAAACAAUUCUUCAUAUGGAAUUUCAACGUUUAUAAUAUCAUCGUUCUCUUCGUUAUGCAACGUUGUCUUCGGCGCCCGAUACACUCUUGACCCAUCUUUCACCUUCAUAUACUUUCCAUAUUGACAAUGUGACAACAGAGGCGAUGGCGGCGUCUUCCACGGCUUUAACAGAAUCAAUUCCUUCAAUGCCAACAAGCUCGGAGACCGAUCAACGGGAUCCAUUUAGGACACUCUCAAAAGGUUCAAAUCCAAGGAAGUAGGCAGUAAUAAAAAGGCUGUGAAAUUGCUGCAAUGUGCGGUGUGCAAUAAGUAUACCUCUCCUAGGAUUUGUGUGCGUUAGUUGAGUCACAAUUGAACACUAACUAGUAUGCUAAUUUGGUAACCAAAUCUUAUUAGGAAGGGGACUAUAGCUGGCUUUCCUGUAGUUUAAAAAAUUAAAAUUAUCAUGAUAACUUUUUUAUUGACGUGUCGAAAUGGAUUGCCCGCGUAUCACUCUCCUGAAAAACCAUUAAGGAUCUAUUAUUAUUGGGCUGUUAUCGUGUGACCCAAUAACGAUUCAAUUAGUUAUCGUAUUGACCUGAAACUAUUUAUUUUCGUUGUUUGUACGUGUCGUGUUAACGGUCGUGUAAGGAAUUUCCAAGUCUAAAGUCUUACAUUCACCUCAUGAGUCAUGGUGAGCCUCCUUGUCUCAACACCUAUAUUUAUAAAUGAAUAUAUAAGUGUUUUGUUCAGUAAAUUAUUAAGCAUUUGAAUUGUACCUUGUUGGUUGAGUAUGUCACCAUUAAUACAAAUUCCUGGUUUCAACCCCGCUGACAUUGUUUAACUUUCUACAUGACGACAUAGCAAGAAUGAUUAAAACGUAAUACUCAUCUGAUUGAAGUUCAAACUCUCUUAGCACAGCAUUAAGAACGUGUUGAAAAAAAUUUGUAGGCCUAAUUUACUGAACUAUAGUAAGGACAGAGAGAGACUGGUGCGGCACAGUAGAGAGAAAUAGAGAGAUCUGAAAUUGUGAGCUACGUUCUAUUCCAUCCUAUUGUGCAUUUAUAGUAUUAGGAAAAGUUAUUUUCUUACUCUAAUAGGAUUACAACUCUAAUAAGAAUUUAACUACUAAAAAAUAUUUAAAGAUAUUUUCAGAUAUAUUAGAAUUUACACAAUAACAUUUCUAAUUCAAUAUGACUGUAAUAAAAACUAAGUAAUAAAAGUCACAAUUUUGGAAUUUAAUUGGAUAAGAAGAUAAAAUUUCAACCUACACGCCUAAACGGGUAUAGUAGUCAAACUUAGUGGCCGAAAAAAAUUCGAGCGACCUUCUGAGAGACUGAGAGCUCAACUAGCUGGAAAGUUUGAGCGACCUUCUGAGAGCUCACCUAGUAAUUGUCCAGCAACCCUACCUUGGUAAAUCGUAUUGAAUCACAUAUAAAUAGAUGCCUGCAUCCAAAAGUGGUACAACUUUCAUAAUUUGAACCGUUUAUUUUUAUUAUCAUCAUCUAAAAAUCACCUAUAGAAAGAAAAAAAAAAAGAAUUUGGAGAAUUUUAAUCAUCUAUAUGAGUCAAGCAAGUUUAUGGCUACCAUAAUAUCAAUUGUUUCAAAUAUAUGGAUAGUUAAACUGUUUCUGAUUAAAUAAAAUUUUCUAAAAAAAAAUCUUUAAAUAAUUAUAAGGAGACUAAACAAAUCAAAUAUGACGUUCCUACGGUAAAAUAAUGUUACAUAGGAACUAAGCAUUACUCACAAAAUAGAGUGGGCCUUGCAAAAUUUUCGUUUGAAAUUAAUUAGUAGCGUUACAUUUAAUAUCUAUUUGUAUAACUCUUUAAUAUAGGUAGAGUUCGACAAUAUAUAUAAAUUUUAUUUUUAUUAAAAAAAAUAGUAUAAAUAAUGAUGAAACUAAAUAAUAAAGAAACAUUUUUAGAAUUUAAUUGGAUAAGAUAAAAUUUCAACCUACACGAGUAAACGCGUACAGUAGUCAAACUUAGUGGCCGAAAAAGGCGUAACCUGAUUGGAAGUCUACUGGAAAGUUCGAGCGACCUUCUGAGAGGCCACCCAGUAAAUGUCCACGACCGACCUUGCCUUGGUUAAUUGUAUUCAAUCAUAUAUAAAUAGACUCAUGAUAAAAUGAACCUGCAUAGAGGCAAUCAACACAUCGUAUACCCACAAAAAAAAAAAAAAAAAAAAAAAAAAAAAGCAGCAGAUACAUAUAUCAACCAAUCAUGGUCGAUGGACUCAAUGCAGUGGAAAUUGCAGUCGGGGGAGUAGCAGGAGCAGCGUUUGGAUCGAUAUUUGAUGGCAUUACGGAGGUGUUACGGAAUGCUGCCGAGUUUACGACCUCCCACGCGAACAUCAAGUCCACGCUAGAGGCUUUGCAGCCAUUGAUACGAGAGAUAGAAGGGAAGAACAAAAGGUUGCUUCUCCAGGAUGAGGAACUAAAAGAUCUUAAAAAAGAAAUUGAGGCAGGCGUAAAGCGUGUUCAAGAGUUAUCGAAGAAGAGUGUGUGGAACUACUGCAUGAGGCCUUUGUACAACAUGGAGCUUGAUGGAAUGGAUAAGUCUCUUAAAAGGCUGCUAAGGAUACUCCAGGUGCAGGGAGUACGGGAUGUCAAGGAGGUCUUGGUUCAAGUCAAUGAUUGCAAAACCGACGUCAACAAGAUCUCGAUUCAACUCGAUGAUUGCAAAACCGGGAUUGUCCGUUAUGGGGAGGAGACCUUGAAUAUGACAAGGACGGUGCUCGACCUAUUUGAACGGAUUAAUGGUCCUAGUGGUUUUGUACCAAUCAGUGAAAAAGGUAAUCCAUUUGCAUCAAGUCAUUUUUUUUUUCAAAGAUUAAAAUGAAAUUUUCUAUUUGUCUUGCAUGUAUAGUUUGUUUAGAGGUAAUAUAGUUAUAAGUAUAAUUUUUUCUUCAAACAAAAAC
rnacentral:lncRNA from 1 species